rnacentral:rRNA from 1 species
GACGCUGGCGGUAUGCUUAACACAUGCAAGUCGAACGGAAACGAUAGAAGCUUGCUUCUAGGCGUCGAGUGGCGGACGGGUGCGUAACGCGUGGGAAUUUACCUUUUAGUGGGGGAUAGCCCGGUGAAAACCGGAUUAAUACCGCAUACUACUCUACGGAGGAAAAGGGGCCUCUCCUUGGAAGCUCUUGCUAUUAGAUGAGCCCGCGUAAGAUUAGCUAGUUGGUUGAGGUAAUGGCUCACCAAGGCAACGAUCUUUAGCUGGUUUGAGAGGAUGAUCAGCCACACUGGGACUGAGACACGGCCCAGACUCCUACGGGAGGCAGCAGUGGGGAAUAUUGGACAAUGGGCGCAAGCCUGAUCCAGCAAUACCGCGUGUGUGAAGAAGGCCUGAGGGUUGUAAAGCACUUUCAAUAGGGACUAAAUGUUCGUAGUUAAUAACUGCGGAUCUUGAAUUAACCUAUAGAAGAAGGACCGGCUAACUCCGUGCCAGCAGCCGCGGUAAUACGGAGGGUCCGAGCGUUAAUCGGAAUUACUGGGCGUAAAGCGCGCGUAGGCGGUUUAUUAAGUCGGAUGUGAAAGCCCUGGGCUCAACCUGGGAACUGCAUUCGAUACUGGUAAACUAGAGUAUAGUAGAGGUAAGUGGAAUUCCAUGUGUAGCGGUGAAAUGCGUAGAUAUGUGGAGGAACAUCAGUGGCGAASGCGACUUACUGGACUAAUACUGACGCUGAGGUGCGAAAGCGUGGGGAGCAAACGGGAUUAGAUACCCCGGUAGUCCACGCCGUAAACGAUGUCAACUAGCCGUUGGGAGCAUUUGAGCUUUUAGUGGCGCAGCUAACGCAUUAAGUUGACCGCCUGGGGAGUACGCACGCAAG